rnacentral:tRNA from 1 species
AAGCAAGAAGCGAAAAAUCGCGGUCAGUUUCGACCUGAUUAAUAGGUAUAAAUUUACCCUUACUUU